rnacentral:rRNA from 1 species
UACGAAGGGGGCUAGCGUUGCUCGGAAUCACUGGGCGUAAAGCGCACGUAGGCGGCUUUCUAAGUCAGGGGGUGAAAUCCUGGAGCUCAACUCCAGAACUGCCUUUGAUACUGGAGAGCUUGAGUCCGGAAGAGGUGAGUGGAACUCCGAGUGUAGAGGUGAAAUUCGUAGAUAUUCGGAAAGAACACCAGUGGCGAAGGCGGCUCACUGGUCCGGUACUGACGCUGAGGUGCGAAAGCGUGGGGAGCAACAGGG